UACGUAGGAUGCUAGCGUUAUCCGGAUUCAUUGGGCUUAAAGCGUGUGUAGGCGGCCAUUUAAGUCAGAGGUGAAAGACGGUAGCUCAACUAUCGCAGUGCCUUUGAUACUGAGUGGCUUGAAUGAACUAGAGGUAGGCGGAAUGAGACAAGUAGCGGUGAAAUGCAUAGAUAUGUCUCAGAACACCGAUUGCGAAGGCAGCUUACUAUGGUUUAAUUGACGCUGAGGCACGAAAGCGUGGGGAUCAAACAGG
rnacentral:rRNA from 1 species